GUGGAUAGGGGUGAAAGGCUAAACAAACCUGGAAAUAGCUGGUUCUCUCCGAAAACUAUUUAGGUAGUGCCUCGUGUAUCACCUUCGGGGGUAGAGCACUGUCAUGGUUGUGGGGUCCAUUGCGGAUUACUACGCCAUAGCAAACUCCGAAUACCGAAGAGUGCAAUCACGGGAGACAGACAUCGGGUGCUAACGUCCGGUGUCAAGAG
rnacentral:rRNA from 1 species